rnacentral:rRNA from 1 species
UACGUAGGUGGCAAGCGUUGUUCGGAAUUAUUGGGCGUAAAGGGCGCGUAGGCGGUCUUGUAAGUCAGCUGUGAAAGCCCGGGGCUCAACCCCGGAGGGUCGGCUGAUACUGCAGGACUGGAGUACGGAAGAGGUAGCUGGAAUUCCCGGUGUAGCGGUGAAAUGCGUAGAUAUGGGGAGGAACACCGGUGGCGAAGGCGGCCAUCUGGACGGAUACUGACGCUGAGACGCGAGAGCGUGGGUAGCAAACAGG